rnacentral:snoRNA from 1 species
AUCCAAGGUGAUUCCCUCUCCAAGGGGCCUACUAGUGCCUCUCUUCAGGAAAGUAGCAACUUGGAAUAAAAUCUGGCAUGCCUCAGGUUUCCAGGGGAGGAGAUUUUCUUUCCCUUCCUUUGGCUGCCUACAUGU